GCGGUUAGUUGUUUCUUAGUGAAGCUCCACUUGAGGAAGCAAAAAUUAGUUUUCGGGAAAACAGAAAUAUGAAGAGAAAGCUUGUCCUGAUUGAUCUUUAAAUAGAAUGGGGAAGUCUCGAUGCAGUGAACCACGUGAAUCCCUUUGACAAGGUCUCGGUGUUGUGGUUGCUUUUAUCCAACGCGUUGGCUUUGUUUGGAAUUUCACAUUGGUCUUGUAAAUGCAACACGGUGGAAAGUGAAGGAGAUAUUGAGUGUAAAAAGUCUUUUUCAAUAGAAGUUUGAGAAAAGUAAUUUUCCUAAAUUACUUUUCCUUGGAAUCCAUUGUUGAACAAAUAUUAGGAAACAUUUAACUUUAAGUUGAAAGUAAUACCAUGUGAAAACGAAUGCCAAUGAUGUAAUUGUCUGAUUAAAUCUGCAGUAUCUGAAGAGUUGAAAUUAAUUUAUACUAAAUCAUUAUCUUUUUAUGGCAGGCAGAUGUUGGGGUUAUGGUAUUAAUAAUGAACUUUGGGUUCUUUUCAUUUACAGAUCAGGAUCUUUUUUUUUUAAUAAAAGGAGAAGCUAAGGUCUAACCCUUCUGGCAGCAAACUGGCUCUCUAAUUAUCUUAGUAAUAGCUCUAAAUUAUUAUUCAAUGUAGGUCUGCAUCCCACUGUUAAUGGGUCAUGAUAUCCCUCGGGAUUUGUACUUUUUUUCCCAUUUCAGUAAAUGACUUGCCAUCUGCAGAUAAUUCAAGUUCAUUGUCUAACUUUGAAAAAUAGCAAUGAUAUGGUCAGGAAGAUAUUGAUGUAUUUGAAGAGGAUUUAAAGGGAACUGGAAGGCAGAACAGCUGAUUCUUGUGUUACCUUGUGGUUUUCUAAUGACAAUAUUUUAUAUCAUCUGAAAAUCUUAAUUUGAGCAUUAAUUUGGAGAGAUGGACACUGUGUUACCUCACCCAAGUCAAAUAAUUCAUGAGUUCUUUGUUCCUGUGAAUCUGGCGACUCAGAAGAGCACUCCCAAUCACUGGAAAGGCAAAACAUAUUUCUUCAGACUGUACAAGAACCAUGGUUCCAGUUUGGCUUCUGGUGAGAACCUCAUGCUUCUUUUACUCAAGGUGGAAGGCAAAGGGGAGCCAGCAUGCAAAGAUCACAUGUUUUGUGUCCACUCACCAUCCUCUCCUGUCUCCUCCUGCUUCCCAGCUUCUGGUAAAUAGUCUACUCUACUUCUAUGAGGACAGCACCACAGCAUUUUAAGUUUCCACAGAUUUGGGCAUUGGACUAGCUGAGAAAAUCUAAAUCUCAAGACGGAAGAAGUAUUUGUUAAGCCUAACAAGAACAUUAAAUAGCCACCAUCUGUCCUAUGUAAUAAAAUUAAUGAGUUUUUCUUCCA
rnacentral:lncRNA from 13 species